AACUUCAUAGCUCAGUUGGUUAGAGCAUCGCACCAGAAUUGCGUGGUCACAGGUUCAAACCUAGUUGAAGUCC
rnacentral:tRNA from 1 species